GAUGAAGAACGCAGCGAAAUGCGAUAAGUAAUGUGAAUUGCAGAAUUCAGUGAAUCAUCGAAUCUUUGAACGCACAUUGCGCCCGCCAGUAUUCUGGCGGGCAUGCCUGUUCGAGCGUCAUUUCAACCAUCAAGCCCCCGGCUUGUGUUGGGGACCUGCGGCUGCCGCAGGCCCUGAAAAGCAGUGGCGGGCUCGCUGUCACACCGAGCGUAGUAGCAUACAUCUCGCUCUGGGCGUGCUGCGGGUUCCGGCCGUUAAACCACCUUCAUAACCCAAGGUUGACCUCGGAUCAGGUAGGAAGACCCGCUGGACUUAAGCAUAUCAAUAAGCGGAGGA
rnacentral:misc_RNA from 1 species